rnacentral:rRNA from 1 species
UACGGGGGGGGCAAGCGUUGUUCGGAAUUACUGGGCGUAAAGGGCUCGUAGGCGGCCAACUAAGUCAGACGUGAAAUCCCUCGGCUUAACCGGGGAACUGCGUCUGAUACUGGAUGGCUUGAGUUUGGGAGAGGGAUGCGGAAUUCCAGGUGUAGCGGUGAAAUGCGUAGAUAUCUGGAGGAACACCCGUGGCGAAGGCGGCUCUCUGGUACGUGACUGACGCUGAGACGCGAAAGCGUGGGGAGCGAACAGG